CAUUUUUCUGAUAUGCCUCUCUACCAACCAGGUUAUAGUUCAUCAGUUUCUUUUCUUUUGCAAAUGAAAGUUUACUGUGCACCACAGAGUUUUCACUGAACCGUGUUUAAAAAUCGCCCAAAAUCUCAUUCAAAUACACCGAAGCAUGGGAUUGUAAUG